GAUGAACGCUGGCGGCGUGCCUAAUACAUGCAAGUCGAGCGAACAGACGAGGAGCUUGCUCCUCUGACGUUAGCGGCGGACGGGUGAGUAACACGUGGAUAACCUACCUAUAAGACUGGGAUAACUUCGGGAAACCGGAGCUAAUACCGGAUAAUAUCUUGAACCGCAUGGUUCAAUAGUGAAAGACGGUUUUGCUGUCACUUAUAGAUGGAUCCGCGCCGCAUUAGCUAGUUGGUAAGGUAACGGCUUACCAAGGCAACGAUGCGUAGACGACCUGAGAGAGGGAUCAGCCACACAAGAACUUAAACACGCUCCAGACUCCUACGGGAGUCAGCAGUAGGGAAUCUUCCGCAAUGGGCGAAAGCCUGACGGAGCAACGCCGCGUGAGUAAUGAAGGUCUUCGGAUCGUAAAACUCUGUUAUGAGGGAAGAACAAAUGUGUAAGUAACUAUGCACGUCUUGACGGUACCUAAACAGAAAGCCACGGCUAACUACGUG
rnacentral:rRNA from 1 species